UCCAGGUGCUAGUGAGACUAUAGAGUGAUAAACACUUGGGUUGGGGUUAUAAGCUUAAUCAUUAUAAGCGUAAUAAACACUUGGGAAGUAAGGUUAUAGUGUAUUUCAGUUUCGAGGUAUAGUUCGGUCAUAUAAGCAUUCAAGGAAUCUAAGAUCUUGAACGUAAGAUUCUUGUUGGAAAAUAGCUAUGGUGGCGGAAAGGUUCUUGGCAGCUUGGGAGUUGUGUAUUGAGGCAGGAUGGAAUCGAUGGACUGAGCGUUCGAUUCGAGGAUGAAGUCUUUUAAUUAUGGUUUUCUAUGUAUUUUUCCGCAUUUGGUUUGUAAUAAGUUUUAAUUAAGUUUUAAUUAUGUCAAAAGUUAUGUUUUGUUUCAAACAAUGGGAUCCCAUGUAUUACUUAUGAAUUUUAUGUAGUUUUGAAUAUUUUCCUUACAGUUUUAAAAUAAAGUUAUGAUUAUUUUAUAUGUACGUUUUCUUAAGAUUAGUAUAGUAAUUAGUGAUGGUCCAAAGUCUAGAAUAGUUGGGUCGUUCCACCAUAUUGGUGACUGA